rnacentral:rRNA from 1 species
UACGGGGGGGGCAAGCGUUAGGCGGAAUCACUGGGCUUAAAGCGUGUGUAGGCGGGUCGUUAAGUGUCUUGUGAAAUCCCCCGGCUCAACCGGGGAAUGGCUGGGCAUACUGGCGAUCUUGAGCAGUCUAGGGGCAGAUGGAACAGACGGUGGAGCGGUGAAAUGCGUAGAUAUCGUCUGGAACGCCAAAGGUGAAGACAGUCUGCUGGGGACUUGCUGACGCUGAGACACGAAAGCCAGGGGAGCGAACGGG